rnacentral:rRNA from 1 species
AGCGUACACGGUGGAUGCCCUGGCAGUCAGAGGCGAUGAAGGACGUGCUAAUCUGCGAUAAGCGUCGGUAAGGUGAUAUGAACCGUUAUAACCGGCGAUUUCCGAAUGGGGAAACCCAGUGUGUUUCGACACACUAUCAUUAACUGAAUCCAUAGGUUAAUGAGGCGAACCGGGGGAACUGAAACAUCUAAGUACCCCGAGGAAAAGAAAUCAACCGAGAUUCCCCCAGUAGCGGCGAGCGAACGGGGAGCAGCCCAGAGCCUGAAUCAGUGUGUGUGUUAGUGGAAGCGUCUGGAAAGGCGUGCGAUACAGGGUGACAGCCCCGUACACAAAAAUGCACAUAUUGUGAGCUCGAUGAGUAGGGCGGGACACGUGGUAUCCUGUCUGAAUAUGGGGGGACCAUCCUCCAAGGCUAAAUACUCCUGACUGACCGAUAGUGAACCAGUACCGUGAGGGAAAGGCGAAAAGAACCCCGGCGAGGGGAGUGAAAAAGAACCUGAAACCGUGUACGUACAAGCAGUGGGAGCCUCUUUUAUGGGGUGACUGCGUACCUUUUGUAUAAUGGGUCAGCGACUUAUAUUCUGUAGCAAGGUUAACCGAAUAGGGGAGCCGAAGGGAAACCGAGUCUUAACUGGGCGUUAAGUUGCAGGGUAUAGACCCGAAACCCGGUGAUCUAGCCAUGGGCAGGUUGAAGGUUGGGUAACACUAACUGGAGGACCGAACCGACUAAUGUUGAAAAAUUAGCGGAUGACUUGUGGCUGGGGGUGAAAGGCCAAUCAAACCGGGAGAUAGCUGGUUCUCCCCGAAAGCUAUUUAGGUAGCGCCUCGUGAAUUCAUCUCCGGGGGUAGAGCACUGUUUCGGCAAGGGGGUCAUCCCGACUUACCAACCCGAUGCAAACUGCGAAUACCGGAGAAUGUUAUCACGGGAGACACACGGCGGGUGCUAACGUCCGUCGUGAAGAGGGAAACAACCCAGACCGCCAGCUAAGGUCCCAAAGUCAUGGUUAAGUGGGAAACGAUGUGGGAAGGCCCAGACAGCCAGGAUGUUGGCUUAGAAGCAGCCAUCAUUUAAAGAAAGCGUAAUAGCUCACUGGUCGAGUCGGCCUGCGCGGAAGAUGUAACGGGGCUAAACCAUGCACCGAAGCUGCGGCAGCGACGCUUAUGCGUUGUUGGGUAGGGGAGCGUUCUGUAAGCCUGUGAAGGUGUGCUGUGAGGCAUGCUGGAGGUAUCAGAAGUGCGAAUGCUGACAUAAGUAACGAUAAAGCGGGUGAAAAGCCCGCUCGCCGGAAGACCAAGGGUUCCUGUCCAACGUUAAUCGGGGCAGGGUGAGUCGACCCCUAAGGCGAGGCCGAAAGGCGUAGUCGAUGGGAAACAGGUUAAUAUUCCUGUACUUGGUGUUACUGCGAAGGGGGGACGGAGAAGGCUAUGUUGGCCGGGCGACGGUUGUCCCGGUUUAAGCGUGUAGGCUGGUUUUCCAGGCAAAUCCGGAAAAUCAAGGCUGAGGCGUGAUGACGAGGCACUACGGUGCUGAAGCAACAAAUGCCCUGCUUCCAGGAAAAGCCUCUAAGCAUCAGGUAACAUCAAAUCGUACCCCAAACCGACACAGGUGGUCAGGUAGAGAAUACCAAGGCGCUUGAGAGAACUCGGGUGAAGGAACUAGGCAAAAUGGUGCCGUAACUUCGGGAGAAGGCACGCUGAUAUGUAGGUGAAGUCCCUUGCGGAUGGAGCUGAAAUCAGUCGAAGAUACCAGCUGGCUGCAACUGUUUAUUAAAAACACAGCACUGUGCAAACACGAAAGUGGACGUAUACGGUGUGACGCCUGCCCGGUGCCGGAAGGUUAAUUGAUGGGGUCAGCGCAAGCGAAGCUCUUGAUCGAAGCCCCGGUAAACGGCGGCCGUAACUAUAACGGUCCUAAGGUAGCGAAAUUCCUUGUCGGGUAAGUUCCGACCUGCACGAAUGGCGUAAUGAUGGCCAGGCUGUCUCCACCCGAGACUCAGUGAAAUUGAACUCGCUGUGAAGAUGCAGUGUACCCGCGGCAAGACGGAAAGACCCCGUGAACCUUUACUAUAGCUUGACACUGAACAUUGAGCCUUGAUGUGUAGGAUAGGUGGGAGGCUUUGAAGUGUGGACGCCAGUCUGCAUGGAGCCGACCUUGAAAUACCACCCUUUAAUGUUUGAUGUUCUAACGUUGACCCGUAAUCCGGGUUGCGGACAGUGUCUGGUGGGUAGUUUGACUGGGGCGGUCUCCUCCUAAAGAGUAACGGAGGAGCACGAAGGUUGGCUAAUCCUGGUCGGACAUCAGGAGGUUAGUGCAAUGGCAUAAGCCAGCUUGACUGCGAGCGUGACGGCGCGAGCAGGUGCGAAAGCAGGUCAUAGUGAUCCGGUGGUUCUGA